AUUGAACGCUGGCGGCAGGCCUAACACAUGCAAGUCGAACGAGAGGCGGACGGGGGAGUAAUGUCUGGGAAACUGCACGAGGGAGGGGGAUAACUACUGGAAACGGUAGCUAAUACCGCAUACCAGCGGAUGGGCCCAGAGGGGAUGAGCUAGUAGGGUGGGUAACGGCUAACCUAGGCGAAGAUCCCUAGCUGGUCUGGGAGGAUGAUCAGCCACACUGGAACUGAGACACGGUCCAGACUCCUACGGGAGGCAGCAGUGGGGAAUAUUGCACAAUGGGCGCAAGCCUGAUGCAGCCAUGCCGCGUGUAUGAAGAAGGCCUUCGGGUUGUAAAGUACGUUCAGCGAUGAGGCGUUACUCGCAGAAGAAGCACCGGCUAACUCCGUGCCAGCAGCCGCGGUAAUAC
rnacentral:rRNA from 1 species